rnacentral:misc_RNA from 1 species
AAGUCGUAACAAGGUUUCCGUAGGUGAACCUGCGGAAGGAUCAUUAAUGUAACCGGACCUUACGGGUGCCGUAAAACGCAUUCGUUCGGAAAGGGAGAUAUCAUACACCCUGUGUUUAUUUACCUUUGUUGCUUUGGCGGGCCGUCCUUUUAGGCGUCGGCCCCGGCUGAUCGCGCCCGCCAGAGGACCCAAACUCUUUUAUCAGUGAUGUCUGAGUACUAUAUAAUAGUUAAAA